rnacentral:rRNA from 1 species
GAGGAACACCGGUGGCGAAGGCAGGUCUCUGGGCCGCAACUGACGCUGAGGAGCGAAAGCAUGGGGAGCGAACAGGAUUAGAUACCCUGGUAGUCCAUGCCGUAAACGUUGGGCACUAGGUGUGGGGCUCAUUCCACGAGUUCCGUGCCGCAGCAAACGCAUUAAGUGCCCCGCCUGGGGAGUACGGCCGCAAGGCUAAAACUCAAAGGAAUUGACGGGGGCCCGCACAAGCGGCGGAGCAUGCGGAUUAAUUCGAUGCAACGCGAAGAACCUUACCAAGGCUUGACAUGCACGGGAAGCCACCAGAGAUGGUGGUCUCUUUGGACACUCGUGCACAGGUGGUGCAUGGUUGUCGUCAGCUCGUGUCGUGAGAUGUUGGGUUAAGUCCCGCAACGAGCGCAACCCUCGUCCCAUGUUGCCAGCGGGUUAUGCCGGGGACUCAUGGGAGACUGCCGGGGUCAACUCGGAGGAAGGUGGGGAUGACGUCAAAUCAUCAUGCCCCUUAUGUCUUGGGCUUCACGCAUGCUACAAUGGCCGGUACAAAGGGCUGCGAUACCGUAAGGUGGAGCGAAUCCCAAAAAGCCGGUCUCAGUUCGGAUUGGGGUCUGCAACUCGACCCCAUGAAGUCGGAGUCGCUAGUAAUCGCAGAUCAGCAACGCUGCGGUGAAUACGUUCCCGGGCCUUGUACACAC